AAAAAGACAAACUCUGGAUUUUCGUGUCCCGUUUGACUAUCCGUCUUAUAUGAAAUUUUUUUAUAAUUAAUAUUUUCAUUGUUGUCAGAUGAUAAAACAUGAUUAAUACUACUUGUCUUUUUAAUUUUUUUUCAUAUUUUUUUUAAAUAAGAUAAAUGGUUAAACGUUGGAAAAAAAAUCGAUGGUU
rnacentral:pre_miRNA from 1 species